GGUGCUGCUACGAACUCGGCCACCGGCACUUUCAUAAGCUGCCUGACUCUGGAUCAGGAGAUCGGAGGUUCGACCCCUUCCGCCCCA
rnacentral:tRNA from 1 species